rnacentral:rRNA from 1 species
UACGUAGGGGGCUAGAGUUGUCCGGAAUCAUUGGGCGUAAAGAGCGUGUAGGCGGUCCGGUAAGUCCGCUGUGAAAGUCGGGGGCUCAACCCUCGAAUGCCGGUGGAUACUGUCGGGCUAGAGUGCGGAAGAGGCGAGUGGAAUUCCUGGUGUAGCGGUGAAAUGCGCAGAUAUCAGGAGGAACACCUAUUGCGAAGGCAGCUCGCUGGGACGUAACUGACGCUGAGACGCGAAAGCGUGGGGAGCAAACAGG